GUCCAUAUCACGUUGAAACACUGUUUCUCGUACGAUCACUGCAGUUAAGCAACGUCGAGCCUGGUCAGUACUUAGCUGGGUGAUAGCUUGGGAAUGC